GAGCUAGACUCUCCCUCAUUACUAACCUUAUGGUGUACUUGUAUGCCUUGGUAUAUGUAGUAUGUGCUAUGGUGUUUUCAUACAC
rnacentral:misc_RNA from 1 species